CUUGCCAGCUGUACAACGUCCAACAGAGGAAGUAACAUAAAUGCUGAACGUUAAGUUUUAUUAUCUAGCUUACAAUGGCCGUGUUCAUCCUUCAGCUCCAAGGAGGUCUUUAUGGGUUCUUGCCUUGCUGUUCAUCCUCUGGGAUUUGAAAACUGCUCUUAGUCUCUGGACAGAGUCUACUUGUCUUGCCUGGUUUGAAUCCACGGAUCAUCUGCAGAACACAGAGACCGAGACUUAUCUCCCGACCAAUGAACAUCCGCCAAAAUCUCUCCCUAUCCACAGGCCAACAAACUUACUGCUUGGACUCUGGCUGGACUCCCCCUCUUUACGCUCCUUGUUCAUCAAGACAGCCCGCCUCAAACCCGCAACGGACUUGCCUGUAGCUUGCUACAGCAUUCAUUCACUGAACUGCAAUUCUUCUGCUAGUCCUGAAUAAACUCAAUUUCUGGUAA
rnacentral:lncRNA from 1 species